rnacentral:rRNA from 1 species
AGUGGCGGACGGGUGAGUAACACGUGGGUGACCUGCUCUUUGGUGAGGAAUACCGGCGAGAAAUCGCUGACAAUACCGCAUACGCUCGUAGGCAAAGCUUCGCCAGAGAAUGGGCCUGCGUCCGAUUAGCUAGUUGGUAGGGUAAGAGCCUACCAAGGCGACGAUCGGUAGCUGGUCUGAGAGGACGAUCAGCCACACUGGGAUUGAGAACGGCCCAGACUCCUACGGGAGGCAGCAGUGAGGAAUUUUCGGCAAUGGGCGCAAGCCUGACCGAGCAACGCCGCGUGCAGGAGGACGCUUUUCGGAGUGUAAACUGCUUUUCUGUGGGAAGAGGGACGGUACCACAGGAAGAAGCCCCGGCUAACUACGUGCCAGCAGCCGCGGUAAUACGUAGGGGGCGAGCGUUGUCCGGAGUUACUGGGCGUAAAGGGCGCGUAGGCGGCCUGCUAAGUUCGGAGUGACAGUCACCAGCUUAACUGGUGAAGGAUUUUGAAAAC